rnacentral:rRNA from 1 species
UACGUAGGGUGCGAGCGUUGUCCGGAAUUACUGGGCGUAAAGAGCUCGUAGGUGGUUUGUCGCGUUGUUCGUGAAAUCUCACGGCUUAACUGUGAGCGUGCGGGCGAUACGGGCAGACUGGAGUACUGCAGGGGAGACUGGAAUUCCUGGUGUAGCGGUGGAAUGCGCAGAUAUCAGGAGGAACACCGGUGGCGAAGGCGGGUCUCUGGGCAGUAACUGACGCUGAGGAGCGAAAGCAUGGGGAGCGAACAGG